rnacentral:rRNA from 1 species
UACAGAGGGGGCAAGCGUUGUUCGGAAUUACUGGGCGUAAAGGGCUCGUAGGCGGCCAACUAAGUCAGACGUGAAAUCCCUCGGCUUAACCGGGGAACUGCGUCCGAUACUGGAUGGCUAGAGGUUGGGAGAGGGAUGCGGAAUUCCAGGUGUAGCGGUGAAAUGCGUAGAUAUCUGGAGGAACACCGGUGGCGAAGGCGGCAUCCUGGACCAAUUCUGACGCUGAGGAGCGAAAGCCAGGGGAGCAAACGGG